rnacentral:rRNA from 1 species
UACAGAGGGGGCAAGCGUUGUCCGGAAUUACUGGGCGUAAAGAGCACGUAGGCGGUCACGCAAGUGGUGUGUGAAACCAAUCAGCUUAACUGAUUGACGCCAUGCCAAACUGCGCGACUCGAGUCAUGGAGAGGUUAUUCGAAUUGCUGGUGUAGUGGUGAAAUGCGUAGAGAUCAGCAGGAAGACCAAGGGCGAAAGCAGAUAACUGGCCAUGAACUGACGCUCAGGUGCGAAAGCGUGGGGAGCAAACUGG